rnacentral:rRNA from 1 species
AGCUCCAAUAGCGUAUAUUUUAGUUGUUGCAGUUAAAAAGCUCGUAGUCGAAUUUCUGGUGGGAGAGUGCGGUCCGACCUUUAAGGUGGGUACUUGCUCUCUCCGGCCAUCCUUGGGAGGAGCCUGUCUGGCAUUGAGUUGUCGGGCUGGGGAUUCCCAUCAUUUACUGUGAGUUAAUUGGAGUGUUCAAAGCAGACUUAUGUCGUUGAACAUAUUAGCAUGGAAUAAUAAGAUAGGACCACAGCACUAUUUUGUUGGUUUGCGCGCCGUGGUAAUGAUGAAUAGGGACAGUUGUGGGUAUUCGUAUUCAGUUGUAAGAGGUGAAAUUCUUAGAUUAACGGAAGACGAACUACUGCGAAAGCAUUUACCAGGGAUGUUUUCAUUG